rnacentral:rRNA from 1 species
UAGGGAAUCUUCGGCAAUGGGGGCAACCCUGACCGAGCAACGCCGCGUGAGUGAAGAAGGUUUUUCGGAUCGUAAAGCUCUGUUGUAAGUCAAGAACGAGUGUGAGAGUGGAAAGUUCACACUGUGACGGUAGCUUACCAGAAAGGGACGGCUAACUACGUGCCAGCAGCCGCGGUAAUACGUAGGUCCCGAGCGUUGUCCGGAUUUAUUGGGCGUAAAGCGAGCGCAGGCGGUUAGAUAAGUCUGAAGUUAAAGGCUGUGGCUUAACCAUAGUACGCUUUGGAAACUGUUUAACUUGAGUGCAAGAGGGGAGAGUGGAAUUCCAUGUGUAGCGGUGAAAUGCGUAGAUAUAUGGAGGAACACCGGUGGCGAAAGCGGCUCUCUGGCUUGUAACUGACGCUGAGGCUCGAAAGCGUGGGGAGCAAACAGGAUUAGAUACCCUGGUAGUCCACGCCGUAAACGAUGAGUGCUAGGUGUUAGACCCUUUCCGGGGUUUAGUGCCGUAGCUAACGCAUUAAGCACUCCGCCUGGGGAGUACGACCGCAAGGUUG